rnacentral:rRNA from 1 species
UACGUAGGUGGCGAGCGUUGUCCGGAUUUACUGGGCGUAAAGGGAGCGUAGGCGGACUUUUAAGUGAGAUGUGAAAUACCCGGGCUUAACUUGGGUGCUGCAUUUCAAACUGGAAGUCUAGAGUGCAGGAGAGGAGAAUGGAAUUCCUAGUGUAGCGGUGAAAUGCGUAGAGAUUAGGAAGAACACCAGUGGCGAAGGCGACUCUCUGGUCUGUAACUGACGCUGAGGCCCGAAAGCGUGGGGAGCAAACAGGAUUAGAUACCCCGGUAGUCCCU